GAUGAACGCUGGCGGCGUGCUUAACACAUGCAAGUCGAACGGAAAGGCCAGUGCUUGCACUGGUACUCGAGUGGCGAACGGGUGAGUAACACGUGGGUGAUCUGCCCUGUACUUCGGGAUAAGCUUGGGAAACUGGGUCUAAUACCGGAUAGGACAACUUUUUGGAUAUUGUUGUGGAAAGCUUUUGCGGUAUGGGAUGAGCUCGCGGCCUAUCAGCUUGUUGGUGGGGUAAUGGCCUACCAAGGCGUCGACGGGUAGCCGGCCUGAGAGGGUGUACGGCCACAUUGGGACUGAGAUACGGCCCAGACUCCUACGGGAGGCAGCAGUGGGGAAUAUUGCACAAUGGGCGCAAGACUGAUGCAGCGACGCCGCGUGGGGGAUGAAGGCCUUCGGGUUGUAAACUCCUUUCGCUAGGGACGAAGCUUUUUUGUGACGGUACCUGGAGAAGAAGCACCGGCUAACUACGUG
rnacentral:rRNA from 1 species